UACGUAGGAGGCAAGCGUUGUCCGGAAUUACUGGGCGUAAAGCGCGUGUAGGUGGUGGGACAAGUCUGCUGUGAAAGCGCCUGGCUUAACCGGGCGAGGUCGGCGGAAACUGUCCGACUAGAGGACGGUAGAGGGGGGUGGAAUUCCCGGUGUAGUGGUGAAAUGCGUAGAGAUCGGGAGGAACACCUGUGGCGAAGGCGGCCAGCUAGACCAGUUCUGACACUGAGGCGCGAUAGCGUGGGGAGCAAACAGG
rnacentral:rRNA from 1 species